rnacentral:rRNA from 1 species
ACUCCUACGGGAGGCAGCAGUGGGAAUAUUGCACAAUGGGGAAACCCUGAUGCAGCCAUGCCGCGUGUGUGAAGAAGGCCUUCGGUUGUAAAGCACUUUCAGUAGGGAGGAAGGUAGUGUAGUUAACACCUGCAUAUUUGACGUUACCUACAGAAGAAGCACCGGCUAACUCCGUGCCAGCAGCCGCGGUAAUACGGAGGUGCGAGCGUUAAUCGGAAUUACUGGGCGUAAAGCGCAUGCAGGCGGCCUGUUAAGUCAGAUGUGAAAGCCCGGGGCUUAACCUCGGAAUUGCAUUUGAAACUGGCAGGCUAGAGUCUUGUAGAGGGGGUAGAAUUUCAGGUGUAGCGUGAAAUGCGUAGAGAUCUGAAGG